rnacentral:sRNA from 1 species
CUUGGUCAAUUUAGAGGAAGUAAAAGUCGUAACAAGGUUUCCGUAGGUGAACCUGCGGAAGGAUCAUUACUGAAUUCAUGACAAGGUUGUCGCUGGCCCUACCCGGGCAUGUGCACGCCUUGCUCAUUCCAAUUCUUACACCUCUGUGCACUCAACAUGGGUUGGUUGUGGCCUGACAUGCUUGCAUGAAGGGCCUGUGCCGCCUGUGGUUACUCUACAAACACCUAAAAGUAUUAGAAUGUAAACUGCGUAUAACGCAUCUUUAUACAACUUUCAGCAACGGAUCUCUUGGCUCUCGCAUCGAUGAAGAACGCAGCGAAAUGCGAUAAGUAAUGUGAAUUGCAGAAUUCAGUGAAUCAUCGAAUCUUUGAACGCACCUUGCGCUCCUUGGUAUUCCGAGGAGCAUGCCUGUUUGAGUGUCAUGGUAUUCUCAAUUCUCCAAAUCUUUGCGGAUCUGGUUGAAUUGGAUGUGGAGGUUCUUGCUGGAUGUGCCUUUCUUGGGUGUGUCCGGCUCCUCUAAAAUGCAUUAGCAGGAAUGUUGCCGUGCCAACCUCAGUGUGAUAAUUGUCUACGCUGUUGUUGCUCAGCAAAAUUGUAUGUUCUUGCUUACAAUCGUCUUCGGACAAUUUCUUGACAUCUGACCUCAAAUCAGGUAGGACUACCCGCUGAACUUAAGCAUAUCAAUAAGCGGAGGAAAAGAAACUAACAAGGAUUCCCCUAGUAACUGCGAGUGAAGCGGGAAAAGCUCAAAUUUAAAAUCUGGCAGUCUUUGGCUGUCCGAAUUGUAUUCUGGAGAAGCGUUUUCCGCGCUGGACCGUGUACAAGUCUCUUGGAAUAGAGCGUCAUAGAGGGUGAGAAUCCCGUCUUUGACACGGACUACCAGUGCUUUGUGAUGCGCUCUCAAAGAGUCGAGUUGUUUGGGAAUGCAGCUCAAAAUGGGUGGUGAAUUCCAUCUAAAGCUAAAUAUUGGCGAGAGACCGAUAGCGAACAAGUACCGUGAGGGAAAGAUGAAAAGCACUUUGGAAAGAGAGUUAAACAGUACGUGAAAUUGCUGAAAGGGAAACGCUUGAAGUCAGUCGCGUCAUUCAGAACUCAGCCCGGCUUUUGCUUGGUGUAUUUUCUGGUUGACGGGCCAGCAUCAAUUUUGACCGCUGGAAAAAGGCCAUAGGAAUGUGGCACCCUCGGGUGUGUUAUAGCCUAUGGUCAUAUACAGCGGUUGGGAUUGAGGACCGCAGCACGCCUUUA